CACCGCGGGGGACUGGUCCCCAGCAACGGGCGAAGUGAAGCGGCAACAGCUCAAAUUUGAAAUCUGGCCUCUUUGGGGUCCGAGUUGUAAUUUGUAGAGGAUGUUUCGGGUACCGCCUCGGUCUAAAUUUCUUGGAACAGAAUGUCAGAGAGGGUGAGAAUCCCGUCUUGGACCGGCGGUAGGGCCCAUGUGAAACUCCUUCGACGAGUCCAGUUGUUUGGGAAUGCAGCUCAAAAUGGGUGGUAAAUUUCAUCUAAAGCUAAAUAUUGGCCAGAGACCGAUAGCGCACAACUAGAGUGAUCGAAAGAUGAAAAGCACUUUGAAAAGAGAGUUAAACAGUAUGUGAAAUUGUUGAAAGGGAAGCGCUUGCCACCAGACGUGAGCGCGGCGGUUCCCCCUUCCUUUUGGUUGGGUUAUUCCGUCCUGUCCAGGCCAACAUCGGUUCUGGGGGUCGGUUAAAGGCUCGAGGAAUGUACCUACUCCUUCGGGGGUAGACUUAUAGCCUCAGGUGUCAUGCGACCUCCCAGGACCGACGAACGCGCUUCGGCUCGGAGGUUGGCGUAAUGGUUGUCAGCGACCCGCUAA
rnacentral:rRNA from 1 species